UACGGGGGGGGCAAGCGUUGUUCGGAAUUACUGGGCGUAAAGGGCUCGUAGGCGGCCAACUAAGUCGAACGUGAAAUCCCUCAGCUUAACUGGGGAACUGCGUCCGACACUGAUUGGCUUGAAUCCGGAAGAGGGAUGCGGAAUUCCAGGUGUAGCGGUGAAAUGCGUAGAUAUCUGGAGGAACACCGGUGGCGAAGGCGGCAUCCUGGGUCGGUAUUGACGCUGAGGAGCGAAAGCCAGGGGAGCAAACGGG
rnacentral:rRNA from 1 species